rnacentral:lncRNA from 1 species
GUUUGACACGGUGCGCGUUCAUUGUCGCCAGGACUUCAUAUCUCACAUGGUCACCUCUUACGAGCAGUGCUCAUCGUCUCUCAGGAAUGCUCAGGUCCAACGCCGGAUCAUGUCCCUGGAAACGAUUGCACCCGUCAACUUCUCCAAGGAGGUACUUGUUGUGCUUGCUUUGAAAGGACUUACUUGGACAGGAACCGCAGGCGAGGAAGACGAUUCCAGGUGAUACAGUCGCGCGAAUACUGCAGCUCAAUAGCUUGGACUUCGAGUUGUACCAGCACGCCAAGCAGCUCUUCCAACUGGAACAGGAAUUUCUCAAGAACCACGCGGACGAGCUGGUAUGAAAAU